GUGUGCGAUCAUACCAGUGUUAAUCCACCGGAUCCCAUCAGAACUCCGCAGUUAAGCGCGAUUGGGCCAGAGUAGUACUGGGAUGGGUGACCUCCCG
rnacentral:rRNA from 1 species